rnacentral:rRNA from 1 species
UGAGGAAUAUUGGUCAAUGGGCGAGAGCCUGAACCAGCCAAGUAGCGUGCAGGAUGACGGCCCUAUGGGUUGUAAACUGCUUUUAUAAGGGAAUAAAGUGGGGCUCGUGAGCUCCUUUGCAUGUACCUUAUGAAUAAGGACCGGCUAAUUCCGUGCCAGCAGCCGCGGUAAUACGGAAGGUCCGGGCGUUAUCCGGAUUUAUUGGGUUUAAAGGGAGCGUAGGCCGCAGGUUAAGCGUGUUGUGAAAUGUAGGGGCUCAACCUCUGCACUGCAGCGCGAACUGGCUUGCUUGAGUACGCACAACGUGGGCGGAAUUCGUGGUGUAGCGGUGAAAUGCUUAGAUAUCACGAAGAACUCCGAUUGCGAAGGCAGCUCACGGGAGCGCAACUGACGCUGAAGC